GAAAAAGGCAUUGGGAUAUGCAUGAAAAAAGAGGAGGAAAAAGAAUUUGAGCUGCUAUUUCUAUUAAGAAUGGAUUACUGAGGUAUCAGUGUGAUGAGUGCUGCUGGGGCAGUUUAAGACAUCAUUAUUUGCACUGCUUCUCUGAGUGGGGAACUGCCUCACAGGAGAGCUGUCAGAGUGAGUGUGUGCUGAGAUCCUGCUUGACAACAAAGCCCAACUCGCAGAUGGUCGAUAACAAUGUGUUUGAGUCAAGACAUUGGAUUGUGAAGAGGAGCAGCCAAAAUGCAGGGACACAUUUUUCUCCUGCUGACUUUGCUAGAGGGAUGGGAGCUUCAGCCCUAGGUGACAGCUAACAGCUGCAGAAUGAUCGCAUUUUAAACUGAAGCAGCUGUUGCUAAGUGACUGAGCUAAAUGUGGCAUUUUAAUUUUGCAAAUUUCACAAAUUAAUUUGGUGUACAGGUUGUUAUCACCUUAGCUAUAAAUAUGUUUAUUUUCUUUUUUUUUUUCCCCAUCUAUUUGCAUUUGAGACUGCCUAGCAAUAACCGGGCAACAAAAAUAGAAUCCCCAACACUG